AUUGAACGCUGGCGGCAGGCCUAACACAUGCAAGUCGAACGAGUGGCGGACGGGCGGGUAAUGACUGGGAGACUGCCUGAUGGCGGGGGAUAACUACUGGAAACGGUAGCUGAUAACGCAUACUAUCAGAUGUGCCCAGAUGGGAUUGGCUUGUUGGUGGGGUAACGGUUCACCAAGGCGACGAUCCCUAGCUGGUCUGAGAGGAUGACCAGCUACACGGGAACUGAGACACGGUCCAGACUCCUACGGGAGGCAGCAGUGGGGAAUAUUGCACAAUGGGCGCAAGCCUGAUGCAGCCAUGCCGCGUGUAUGAAGAAGGCCUUCGGGUUGUAAAGUACUUUCAGUGGGGAGGCGUUACCCGCAGAAGAAGCACCGGCUAACUCCGUGCCAGCCGCCGCGGUAAUUC
rnacentral:rRNA from 1 species